rnacentral:rRNA from 1 species
AGAGUUUGAUCCUGGCUCAGGAUGAACGCUAGCGACAGGCUUAACACAUGCAAGUCGAGGGGCAGCACAGGUAGCAAUACCGGGUGGCGACCGGCGCACGGGUGAGUAACGCGUAUGCAACUUACCUAUCAGAGGGGGAUAACCCGGCGAAAGUCGGACUAAUACCGCAUGAAGCAGGGGCCCCGCAUGGGGAUAUUUGCUAAAGAUUCAUCGCUGAUAGAUAGGCAUGCGUUCCAUUAGGCAGUUGGCGGGGUAACGGCCCACCAAACCGACGAUGGAUAGGGGUUCUGAGAGGAAGGUCCCCCACAUUGGUACUGAGACACGGACCAAACUCCUACGGGAGGCAGCAGUGAGGAAUAUUGGUCAAUGGGCGUAAGCCUGAACCAGCCAAGUCGCGUGAGGGAUGAAGGUUCUAUGGAUCGUAAACCUCUUUUAUAAGGGAAUAAAGUGCGGGACGUGUCCCGUUUUGUAUGUACCUUAUGAAUAAGGAUCGGCUAACUCCGUGCCAGCAGCCGCGGUAAUACGGAGGAUUCGAGCGUUAUCCGGAUUUAUUGGGUUUAAAGGGUGCGUAGGCGGCCUUUUAAGUCAGCGGUGAAAGUCUGUGGCUCAACCAUAGAAUUGCCGUUGAAACUGGGGGGCUUGAGUAUGUUUGAGGCAGGCGGAAUGCGUGGUGUAGCGGUGAAAUGCUUAGAUAUCACGCAGAACCCCGAUUGCGAAGGCAGCCUGCCAAGCCAUGACUGACGCUGAUGCACGAAAGCGUGGGGAUCAAACAGGAUUAGAUACCCUGGUAGUCCACGCAGUAAACGAUGAUCACUAGCUGUUUGCGAUACAUUGUAAGCGGCACAGCGAAAGCGUUAAGUGAUCCACCUGGGGAGUACGCCGGCAACGGUGAAACUCAAAGGAAUUGACGGGGGCC